GUGGAUCCGAUAGUGACGAAUGAGGCUGC
rnacentral:piRNA from 1 species